GACGAACGCUGGCGGCGUGCUUAACACAUGCAAGUCGAACGGAAAGGCCCUGCUUUUGUGGGGUGCUCGAGUGGCGAACGGGUGAGUAACACGUGAGUAACCUGCCCUUGACUUUGGGAUAACUUCAGGAAACUGGGGCUAAUACCGGAUAGGAGCUCCUGCUGCAUGGUGGGGGUUGGAAAGUUUCGGCGGUUGGGGAUGGACUCGCGGCUUAUCAGCUUGUUGGUGGGGUAGUGGCUUACCAAGGCUUUGACGGGUAGCCGGCCUGAGAGGGUGACCGGCCACAAUGGGACUGAGAUACGGCCCAGACUCCUACGGGAGGCAGCAGUGGGGAAUAUUGCACAAUGGGCGGAAGCCUGAUGCAGCAACGCCGCGUGCAGGAUGACGGCCUUCGGGUUGUAAACCGCUUUCGCCUGUGACGAAGCGUGAGUGACGGUAAUGGGUAAAGAAGCACCGGCUAACUACGUG
rnacentral:rRNA from 1 species